UGGGGAAUUGUUCACAAUGGGCGCAAGCCUGAUGACGCAACGCCGCGUGGGGGAUGAAGGUCUUCGGAUCGUAAACCCCUGUCGAAUGGGACGAAAGACUCGCGAGUGAAUACUUCGCGAGAGUGACGGUACCGUUAAAGGAAGCCACGGCUAACUCUGUGCCAGCAGCCGCGGUAACACGAACCGGACAAACGUUAUUCGGAAUUACUGGGCUUAAAGGGUGCGUAGGCGGUGCGGUAAGUGCGGUGUGAAAUCCCACGGCUCAACCGUGGAAUUGCGCUGCAUACUGCCGUGCUAGAGGGAGACAGGGGUAAGCGGAACUGAUGGUGGAGCGGUGAAAUGCGUUGAUAUCAUCAGGAACACCGGUGGCGAAAGCGGCUUACUGGGUCUCUUCUGACGCUGAGGCACGAAAGCUAGGGUAGCGAACGGGAUUAGAUACCCUGGUAGUCCCUGAGCGGGCUGGCAAGGCGCAU
rnacentral:rRNA from 1 species